rnacentral:lncRNA from 1 species
GGAGCCGCCCCGGAGGAGGAGGAGGAGGGAGAGACGCAGAGGAAGAAGGAGAGGAGAUCUCACUGCCUCCUAGCUGACAGCCCGCAGCCCGCCCGAUGCGAGAGAAGCUCCCCCGGUAUUAGUAUGGCCACCCCUGCCACCUGCACCCGCUUCACGGACGAAUAUCAGCUGUAUGAGGAGCUCGGCAAGUAAGGAGCUCUGUGACUGGGGGACACAAAAGACGACUGCUGGGGGGAAAGACUGCUGGGAAACGACUGACUGGCGAGACUGGGGGAAACAAAGACCUGACGCUGGGGGAAACAAAGACUGACUGCUGGGACAAAGACUGACUGCUGGGGGACAAAGACUGACUGACUGCUGGGGACAAAGACUGACUGCUGGGGGGACAAAGACUGCUGUUGGGGACAAAGACUGACUGCUGGGGACAAAGACUGACUGCUGGGGGGACCACAAAGACGACUGCUGGGCAAAGCUGACUGCUGGGGCAAAGACUGACUGCUGGGGGACAAAGACUGACUGCUGGGGAGGGACAAAGACUGACUGCUGGGGACAAAGACUGCUGGGUGGGGGGGACAAAGACUGACUGCUGGGGGGGGACACAAAGACUGACUGCUGGGGGACACAUAAUGGGGAUAGAACAUAGCUCGGGCACCUGGGGACAGGGCGUGAAGGAGGGGUAACAUUGUCCUCACAGCCUGGGUAUCAGGGUAACAUUGUCCUCACAGCUGGGGUAUCAGGGUAACAUUGUCCUCACAGCUGGGGUAUCAGGGUAACAUUGUCCUCACAGCUGGGGUAUCAGGGUAACAUUGUCCUCACAGCUGGGGUAUCAGGGUAACAUUGUCCUGACAGCUGGGGUAUCAGGGUAACAUUGUCCUGACAGCUAGGGUGUCAGGGUAACAUUGUCCUGACAGCUAGGGUAUCAGGGUAACAUUGUCCUGACAGCUAGGGUAUCAGGGUAACAUUGUCCUGACAGUUGGGAUACUGCUUGGAUUACAGAGUAAUAUUGUCCUUUAGAGCUGGGAUUGCAGAGUAAUAUUGUCCUUGGAGCAUGAGAGAACAGGGUAUAAUAUUGUCCUGACAGCCUGUGAGAGUACGGUAACAUUGUCCUUAGAAUUGGGGGUAGCAUGGUGAUAAUAUCCUGACUGCCUGGACAGUCGGAUAACAUUGUCAUCAAAACUGGAAUAGCAGGGUAACAUUGUCCUGACAGCCAGGGAGAGCAGGGUAACAUUGCCAUCAGAAUUGGGGAGAGCCGGACAAUUUCCUGACAACUGAGAAGAACAGGGUGACACUGUUCUCAGAAUUAACGACAUUAGGGUAAAACUGUUCUCUAUAUUGGGGUUAAAAUUACCGUAGCAGCUGGGGAAAGCAGUGUAAUUGUCUUUACAGAAAUAAGGAGAGCAAGGUAACAGUGUCCUCAGAAUUGGGGAGAGCAAGGUAACUGUCCUGACAGCUGAGGAGUGCAGCAUAACAUUGAGCUUGUUAUAAGAAAUCUCUUUACUGGCAGCUGUUGAGGAGAAGUAUUAUUGCCCUGACAUAUGAUGGGGUGGGUAACUCUAGCUUGACCGCACAGAAGAAGGGGCAACUCUUGUCCAUCACUAGACAAAGUAACACUGACACUCAGCAGAGAGGAGUAACACUUGCCUGACAGACAGAUUUAACGAGGUGUAAAGCUGUCUUAACAGCCACAUUAUGUUGUAAUGGGGGCUUAUAAAGUGACAUUGUAGUAACAAGAGAUUUAAAAUAAUACAUAACUGUAUUCCUAAUACUAGUGUCUUUCUGCCGCCCCCACCUCGGUGUUGAAAGGGUAAAGAAAAACAACCUUUUAACUCUUACCUUAAUUCCAGCUCCAAGGUCCCUUGGCAAGGGCUAUGUCUCCUCCUCUAGAGAUGUCAUGCUGACGGAGGACCUAAUGAGCAUGCGCGCCUUACGCGCAUUAGAACUUUCCCAUAGGAAAGCAUAGAAUCAGUGCUUUUCUUGUUUUGAAGACGCUAGACAUCAUCAUGCAAAGCAUGAGGAUGUCCAAUAUUGUUUCAUGGAAUGCAGGAAAUGCCUCUAGUGGCACCCUGGAAAACAGCCACUAGUGGCUGUCUUAACCCUGCAGAAUGUGGAGACGCUGAAUGCCAGUGCUGCACACUGGACUAGGAAACACCUCUUGUGGACAUCUGAGUGACUACCACUAGAGGUGUUACUUGGCAGCAACGUAAACAUUGCAUUUUCUCUGAAAAAGCAGCUUUAACAUUGAACAGCUUGCAGAAGCAGGUUAUAGACACCAGCACCACUACAUUAACAUGUAGUGGUUCUUGGGACUAUAGUGUCCCUUUAAAUUAAUGAAGGCUGGGCAUUGGAUUAAAAAGUAGCAAUCAGAAAAGGGCAGUUUCUGCAUAGAUAUUGAGGCAUUGGCAAACUGGCACAAAGGGCAAUUUCAACUCCGUGACAGAAUCCUAUAAUGCACCAUUAUAAUUUUCAGCCAUGUUGGGGGGGCGUGAGCGAGAUGCCAGAUACGUUAGGUGUACUGUGUACCAGAUUCCGGCUCAGGUUACCUGUGGACCUUAGCUGUUCUAGUAUAACUCUUUAUCAUGAUAAGAAAGCAUGUGUGUAGUUGAUGCUUAUCUGCUUAUUAGGUCAAUAGCUGCUUUAGGGACAACACUCAACAUUUUAAAAUAAAGCAUGUGUUUCUACUAAGAAAUAAUAAAAAAAAAAAACAGCAGGAUGGAUUGUUUAAUAGCUUGCAUCUGCCAUCAAAAUCUAUUUACUAUGUUAACACUGAUCUAGGCAGUGGGAUUAAAACACUGGUUCUGUGCUAGGAUUUGGGAAAAUUUAUUUUAUUUCUAUAAUACUCUCAUUUAGUUAUGUCUAACUUUUUAAACCUCAGCCGUUUGUGUACUAUUUUCAUUUGACUCUCAGCCAGCCUGUUACGUGGGCAAGGUGGGAAACAGUCCACAACAGCUGCAGUACCAUAGUAUAGCCAUCGCUGUUCUAGAACAUCUGGACCAGGAUGCAAAAGCUAUAGAAAGGGGGACGAAGGAUUGGUGUGUUGGGUACAUUAUGCACCAGCUGCACUAUCACUGCCCUAAUAGGCAUUCACGUUCAUUUUAAGAAGUGUCUACGCACCGUGUAUUUCUUCGUUCUUUGUUUUUCUCUUUUUAGAAGUUUGGGUGCACAAGCACCAGCCUGUAUUUUAAACAUAGUAUCUGUUUAGGAAAAGAUCCAAUGCCCUCUGGGGUUUUUGUACUUUGUGUGUUCUAGGAAGGGAAGGAAAAAGGAACGCAUGUUGUGCAAGCAUGAGAUGGAGGACAUGGAGGUUAAAUAUUUAAGCUCAUGUUAUAAGGCAGACAAUAUAUAAAGCAGUUUAAAUAAAAUAUUGAUAGACAGGAAAAUCUUUUGCACAACUUCUAACAGUGUUUUUUUUUUUUCGUUUUUAAAAAAAAAAAUUUUUUACCCUUUUAUCUCCUGAAGUCACUUGGGGAACACAAUUAUAAUUACCCUCGUCAGAUACACAUUUGUUCCUCCCCCCCAGCACUCAACAUAGAUAUCCCUAGUAAAAAAAUAAUUGUUACUCUGUUCAUGCCUUUUUUUUUUUUUUUGAGACAAAAACUCCCAUGAUCCACAGACGGCUAUUGUUGGAAUUUGCAACAUGUAUAGAUUAAAUAUGUUGUCCAAUCAUACCCUAAACCUAUAACUACUACGCUACUGUUCAUCUGUCUCCUUAGCCCUCUAGCCAGCUAGACAAGGAAGUCAUACUUGAUGUAAGCAAACGCAUGCAUACAUAGAGCCAAGCAUUUUGGAUUUUAGUACACAAUGCUAAAAUGAUCAGCUGCGUAUGUUAACCGCUCUGCUUCUUUGAAAGGAGUUAAGAGCAGGUGUCAGUGUAAAUGUGUUUUUUAUAAAUAAAUAUUUUUAUUUAUUUUUAGCAGAUCCUCUUGAUAACUGCAUUGCAGAAUUUAGUUGUCAAAUCCUCCCCCCCCUUUUUUUUUUUUUUUUGCGGUCUUCUUUGUUCUGCUCUCAUUGACUGUCUGUCCUUGUUAGGCUUGUCUUGAACAUGGUGGGGUGGGAGUAUUGUUAGCAUAUGGACAGAAAGCUGUAAACAUCUGUUGCUAACCCCCAGACCUUGCUGCUAGUUGCUCAUGUGUUGGGUAGAGCUUAUCUUUUCUGCUUUGUCAUUAUCAGAAAUUGUUGCAGUAGCCUUAACUUUUAAGUGCCGGAACAAUUGUGCUUUGAGGUCCCAGGGAAAUGGGUUAACCAGAAUGCCCAUUUUUGGCUGAUAGCAUUCAUGGGUGUGCGCUGCUUCCGUAAUCUGUAUGGUUUCAAGUUACUAAUAAUGAUAUCCUUAAUAUCUUCUUUUUUUCAUUCUAUUUUAAAAACAAAAUAGUCCACUGCUCCCUAUUAUGCAAUGCGAUAUUUGAUAUGGCUUAAUGGAGAUCUUGUUUUUUUUUCACGCUAGUAGAAGCUGUAGUGAUUAUGGUACUUGAAGUAUCCCUUUAUCAUAAGAAGGAUCUUUAAAGAAACACAAUUGUCAACCGAACCAUUAUAGAUAAAAGGGACACUACAGGCAUCCAGACCACUUCAUCUUAUUGAAGUGGUCUAGAUGCAGUGUCACUGUCCCCUUAGCCCUGCAAGGUAAAACAUUUACAUUUUAGAGGAGCUAGUGUUAACACUGCCUCUAGUGCUAGACAAGAGGUGUUUCCUGUAUUUACACAGAGUUUUAUUCUGUGAAACAAUGCUGUACAUCCACACGCUUUGCAUUAGGACAUCAAGUGCCUUCAAAAACCCCAUAUGAAAGCAUUGAUUCAUUGCAUUCCUCUGGUGAAGCUGUAAUGCAUGUACUUGAUGCGCAUGUGCAUGUCGAUGUGGGAGGAGCCUGUAAUCAGGUAAGUGGGGGGAAAAAGGGACCGUAGAGACAGAGGGACAUUACUGAUAGGAAUAGAGUUUUGUAUUCCUAACAGUAUAGUGUUCCUUUAUUGUGCCCUAGCCUAACAAUGUGUCCGUAUGGGAAAGCAUUGGUGGGGCGGCUGCACAGAGAGCGAUGCAGUAAGGUCUCAAAAGUAAAUAAGCUUUUUUUAAAAAAAAUAAAAAAUAAAAAUUAUAUAUAUAUUUUUUUUAUUGCACACAGGAGGGGGGAGCUGUCAGCUAAAUAGUUAGCUGUACACUAUAGCAAAAUUCAUAUGCCACAGUGUCCCUUUAAAUUUCAAUGUGCUAGAAGACUUUUCUUUUAUCCCUACUUUAACUGAAGUCUGUCAUUCAAAUUUGGAGAUCCUUGUUUGUUGAAGAACUAAAGCUCCCACGAUACUUUAAGUCAGGCUUAGCAUCACGGAGGCUGCAGUUGAGCAACUUAUGGUCAAGUCGACAAAGGAUUUGCAGCCACCCUUGGUCUACUAGGCCCUUAGCUUCAGCUCAUGCAAUAUAUAGCUAAAUAAUCCUGGUAUCUGCAGGCUUGUAAUGGACCUUAAAAGCUUGUUCUUUUUCUUGAUGGUCUCAGUUAUAGAGCAAUAAUAAGAUAAAGAACUACAAAUCAGUUCCUUUCAAAUUUAACAUAAAAAUCAUUGUCAUUUGACUGUUCGAGGCGGUUUAUUUCUUAUGUGAUUGGCACUUGCAAGGUGUAUAUUAAAAUAAAUAAUUAACCUUUAGUAGUCAAUGUACUGGUAGUUGGGUGGGUAUUUUCAAAAAUUCAAAUAAAAAAAUAUGUAUGUUUUGAUCUUUCGGUUUUUCUUAUUUUUAUUUUAGCAAUCCGCACGUUGCAUAGUUGGCUAGGGUUUUCUAUUGAAUGAGAUUCCAUCUUGGUGACAAGUGGAUUCUACAUUAGCGGUUCAAAUUAUUCUAGCAUGGAUUAAAAGGAUAUUCUAAGAUCACUGUGGUGGUUUGUUAUCAACAUGUCCUGGAGUUUACCAUGGUCAAAUAGGAAAUCAUAUGGCUUCCAGGUACUGCUCCUAUCUUGGCUGUAUUGACAAUGUGAAAUUAACACUUCCACUUUAACAAUUUCAAUUUUGUUUAGCCUGGGUAACAUUGAUAGGCUAAAAAUGCUAGGCUAAGCCAUCUUCAAAACUCUCAAAGGCUGUCACCCAAGCUUGAUAAUUCACAUUGAUAAUAUGAAACUAGAAAUUGUGAAUUAUCAGUGUCUGUGAGAGUUUUUCCUAUAUGGUUACAUAUAUUCCUGAUCAUUUAAUUAGUUGUGGAUUUAAAAGGCCAAGCAAAACCAAAAGCAACUCUUCCUAUCCUGCCCUACAAUAUUUAACAUAAAAAAAAAAAAAGAAUUCUAUUUCAGCACCGAGGCCAAGUUCUCCCUGCAGACUGAUCCUCUUCUGGUCACUUCCCCACUAGAGAGAUGUAGGGGGGAGAACAGGCAGAGGGGAGGACAUGGAGGGAUAGGGGCUGUACCAUUUAAUCACCCUCAUCCUGUUUGUUUUGAUGUCAGACAUCGAAUAUGUACAGAAUAGACAUUAGCUAGCCCGGAAUUCCUUGUUCUGCCCCAAUUACAGUGCUGGAGGCAGAGAUACACUAGCGGCACCAUGUACAGCGUUCAUAACAAAAUGCUAUACAUGCUAAGCAUAUACAUACUCCAGGCACCAUAACCACUUGAAAUCACUAAUGUGGUUAUGGUCAAAGACAAAAUAGUCUGAACUAAUCUCCUUUUAGUGAAAGGCAGGUAAGAUGUACACACACACAGAUGUUGUAAAACAACAGCCAUGAUUCUUUACUAACCUUUAGAAUAUUGUACAACAUCUGGGGAUCUACCUUCUAUCCACCCUGGUGUAACCAUUGUGUUUUACCCACCUAUUAAGGUUAACAUGUAAUCUUUACCAAAUAAUAUAUAUUACUGCUGGUGAAUGGUGUAAAGAUUGAUACACAAGCUGCCUUGCAACACUAACGUUGCCAACCAGCUAACCAAGAAUUUUAAUCUGGCUUUUUAUUGCAUUUUCGCUUGGUGUUUGUAGAGGUUAAUACGACAUCCAGAGGAAUGGUACACGUUUGCCCAAUGUCAUUGAAUGAUGCAUCUGUAGUAGAUCUACUACUCUGUAGCUAUCCUAUGAUUUCUGAUAAUGUACCUGUAAAAGACAUAGAUGCUAUAACUAUAGUGCCCUUAUUUUAAAGCCGGUAUUAAAUUACAGGUUUUGAAGAACAAAACAAUAUACUGGCAUUAAAUAUCAUGUAAAUGUUCUAGAAUUUAUUCUUGUUAUGAUUUCUCAACUGUUUUCUAUAUUGUGUUUUUUUUUUUUCAAGGGGUGCCUUUUCUGUAGUAAGAAGAUGUGUGAAGAAAUCUUCCAGCCAGGAGUAUGCCGCAAAGAUUAUCAACACCAAAAAGUUGUCUGCUCGCG